rfam:Loxodonta africana unplaced genomic scaffold scaffold_30, whole genome shotgun sequence.
GAGUGUGUUGCCCCUCUCUUUACUAUUCCUUGUUUGUCCCUUUCAAAGCUGGAUGCUUAGUAAAAGUGGAAGCACUUUCAGGGUAAGGUUAUCAUCUAUCCAGGGGUCUGUGGGUAGCCCUAGUGGCUUGCUAGAACCCCCAAACAAGUUCUCAAGAAUCACUUAUAGAAGAAAGUAGGGUUGCCAAGAUUAAGCUAAAACAUUUAGUUUUGCUUACU